rnacentral:rRNA from 1 species
GCUUAGGGAGGAGCUUGCGUCACAUUAGUUAGUUGGUGGGGUAAAGGCCUACCAAGACUAUGAUGUGUAGCCGGGCUGAGAGGUUGAACGGCCACAUUGGGACUGAGACACGGCCCAAACUCCUACGGGAGGCAGCAGUAGGGAAUUUUCGGCAAUGGAGGAAACUCUGACCGAGCAACGCCGCGUGAACGAUGAAGUAUUUCGGUACGUAAAGUUCUUUUAUUAGGGAAGAAUAAAUGAUGGAAAAAUCAUUCUGACGGUACCUAAUGAAUAAGCCCCGGCUAACUAUGUGCCAGCAGCCGCGGUAAUACAUAGGGGGCAAGCGUUAUCCGGAAUUAUUGGGCGUAAAGGGUGCGUAGGCGGUUAAAUAAGUUUAUGGUCUAAGUGCAAUGCUCAACAUUGUGAUGCUAUAAAAACUGUUUAGCUAGAGUAAGAUAGAGGCAAGUGGAAUUCCAUGUGUAGUGGUAAAAUGCGUAAAUAUAUGGAGGAACACCAGUAGCGAAGGCGGCUUGCUGGGUCUUUACUGACGCUGAGGCACGAAAGCGUGGGGAGCAAACAGGAUUAGAUACCCUGGUAGUCCACGCCGUAAACGAUGAGUACUAAACGUUGGGUAAAACCAGUGUUGAAGUUAACACAUUAAGUACUCCGCCUGAGUAGUACGUACGCAAGUAUGAAACUUAAAGGAAUUGACGGGACUCCGCACAAGCGGUGGAUCAUGUUGUUUAAUUCGAANGUACCCGAAAAACCUCACCAGGUCUUGACAUGCUUCUGCAAAACUGUAGAAACACAGUGGAGGUUAUCAGUUGCACAGGUGGUGCAUGGUUGUCGUCAGCUCGUGUCGUGAGAUGUUGGGUUAAGUCCCGCAACGAGCGCAACCCUUAUUGUUAGUUACCAGCACGUAAUGGNGGGGACUUUAGCAAGACUGCCGGUGA